rnacentral:rRNA from 1 species
UACAGAGGUCUCAAGCGUUGUUCGGAUUUACUGGGCGUAAAGGGCGCGUAGGCGGCCCUCCUUGUCGCGUGUGAAAGCCCCGGGCUCAACCUGGGAAUUGCGCGCGAAACGGGGGGGCUCGAGUUCGGGAGAGGAGCGUGGAAUUCCCAGUGUAGAGGUGAAAUUCGUAGAUAUUGGGAAGAACACCGGUGGCGAAGGCGGCGCUCUGGACCGAGACUGACGCUGAGGCGCGAAAGCGUGGGGAGCAAACAGG